AUGGAAGUGAUGCAUAAACAUAUAACCUUCACCCUGAUGACAAUGAUGGUUGGUUGUAUUCGUACUGUCUGAUCCAU
rnacentral:snoRNA from 11 species